CCAAUCACUUUAUCUUUUGUCACCUUGGCUAAACACCAAUCAUUGGAUAAUGCCACACCCUUGUUUUUCAAGCAAAUUGCUUUGCCUCUUGGCAAUCUAAUCAAAUAUCUUUCUUUGUUCCGCAUUGGUUCCAUGAACUAUAGAGCUCUGACUUUCUCAUUGCAUGGUGAGAGGACGUAUGCACGAGAAUUCAAAUCCUUCGCAAGCACCCUAAUUAUUAUUUCUUCUUUCAC
rnacentral:lncRNA from 1 species